AGAGUAAAAGCGAGUUCGUUAAGUGCCUGCCGGACGGGGAGUUGUCGGCUGGACGAAGGCUAUAUGCCGCGGUUCGCGCUUUGCAUCCCGCU
rnacentral:ncRNA from 1 species